rnacentral:rRNA from 1 species
UACGUAGGGUGCGAGCGUUAAUCGGAAUUACUGGGCGUAAAGCGUGCGCAGGCGGGCUUUUAAGCCAGACGUGAAAUCCCCGGGCUUAACCUGGGAAUGGCGUUUGGGACUGGAAGUCUGGAGUGCGGCAGAGGAGACUGGAAUUCCUGGUGUAGCAGUGAAAUGCGUAGAUAUCAGGAGGAACACCGAUGGCGAAGGCAGGUCUCUGGGCCACUACUGACGCUGAGAAGCGAAAGCAUGGGGAGCGAACAGG